AGCUGUGAGAGCAAUUUGGCUGAGACAUCUGUUGCCCCUUUGUUCAUCAGUGCUGAGUCUACAGAUCUGAUUGGUGAGGCAGAUGUGCCCCUUCUUCCCUCACUGCUCCCCAGACACCCCUCCCCCCAAAGCUGUACACAUGGAAGUAAUGACAAAUAAACAGGAAGGGAAGCCAUGGUCUUGGGUAAGCUUG
rnacentral:snRNA from 1 species